ACUGCCUGUUCAGGGGUAGAACUACACAUUUUUACGUUGUCAGCUCAGGGAUUCGAUCUCCUUUUUUUGUUCUGGCCACUGUUACUCAUUUGUUCCCAUAGGAAACAGGCUGUGGUCUAUCUUGGUUUAGUUAUCAAAAGUAUUUGUAGGAAGAGGCGAAGUCGGAAAGAAGAGCUUGUAAAACCCAGAGGCGAGACUUUCUGGGACGCUUGUGAAGGUGGCUAGAAGAGCCCUCCUUUGAUCUGUGUGCAUGUGGGGGGAGUCGGUUUUUGGCGGGGCAGCAGACUCUUUUUGUUGCAUUCCACCCAGACAGGUCCACCUUGUGUCGUGGAUGCCCACUAGGGGGCCAUGGGAGGAGUCGAGGCACUCUUUUUGACUCUAGCUAGCGACGACGUUUGAACUUCCGGAUCCGGUGUAAAUAUGUAAUUUUAUAUGCUAGGAAAAUGUCAGAGUGUCUGAUCUUCUAUGCUUUACAACAGUACUUUUUUUAGCAACAGAAGCAAACAUGUAUUAAUUGCAAUUGCUAGAGCUUGAACUAAUAUUACUACUCGGGAGAAGAAUUUUAAAAAGAUUGAGACAAUGCCAAAUUCGUCCACUGCGGACGACAAAACCAUACUGUACACGUCUCGUCCAACCUAUGCGAAACGCCAUUGACAAGAAAAUACAUUUUCAAUACUUGGUGUGUCGGUUGCCAGAUUUGACGACUUGCUUCAGCGACUUGCCCCUCACAUGUCACACGAGAGAACUCACAGCAUGCCCGUAAAUCAUGCAGAAAGGCUUUCUGUCACCCUUCGGUUUCUGGCGAGUGCCAGCACACAGCAAAGUAUCGCUGCGAAUUAUAAAACAGGAAUCUCGACAGUUUAUGGCGACGUUAAGGAAGUGGGGGACAUUUGACUACAGGGUUGGUCGAUUUUGAGGGGUUAGUGGCAAGAUAGGAUUGGGGCGACAAAUUGAUUUAGUGGAGAGUGGGGGAAUAAAUAAGGUGCAUUCAGAAGUGUUUCCACUUUCAUUUCACCUCAUACAUUUAAAAGCAUUGGAUUGGUGCAAGCAUAUUUGGGAGACAUUCCACCACAGCACACGACCGCUGGACGACCCCAGCCAGGCCGUGUUUUCUUUCCUAACCCUCCGUAUUAUUUGAAUAUUGUGGAAAAAAAGAAUGAACAAUUCACCACACUGGAUGAGGCAGAAUCAGGCAACAGUAACUGGAUUGGUAACUAUGGGUGUUUUACUUAACGCCAACUGCAACACCUGGGUGCGGCUAAAGCUGCUGGUUAUAAGCGCAAUGUGUCUGCCUAUAACUUGUUUUGUGCAGAGGUGCUGAAGGGGAAAGGGUACUGCACUGCUAAAAGCAACGUCUCUUAUGGAGCUAAGCCUGGUGCAAGGGAGGAUGAAGAGGCCAUUGUUAGAGGAGUGCAGUGAGCAGGUCGGGAAUCUAGGGGUGCAGAUGGUCAGUAAGGAAAAAGAGGACCGAGCACGCCUCCAUUCUCAUCGACGGGCCUGCAGUGGAGCAGGUUGA